UACUUGACCUAGCGGCGGACGGGUGAGUAAUGCUUAGGAAUCUGCCUAUUAGUGGGGGACAACAUCUCGAAAGGGAUGCUAAUACCGCAUACGUCCUACGGGAGAAAGCAGGGGACCUUCGGGCCUUGCGCUAAUAGAUGAGCCUAAGUCGGAUUAGCUAGUUGGUGGGGUAAAGGCCUACCAAGGCGACGAUCUGUAGCGGGUCUGAGAGGAUGAUCCGCCACACUGGGACUGAGACACGGCCCAGACUCCUACGGGAGGCAGCAGUGGGGAAUAUUGGACAAUGGGGGGAACCCUGAUCCAGCCAUGCCGCGUGUGUGAAGAAGGCCUUUUGGUUGUAAAGCACUUUAAGCGAGGAGGAGGCUACCGAGAUUAAUACUCUUGGAUAGUGGACGUUACUCGCAGAAUAAGCACCGGCUAACUCUGUGCCAGCAGCCGCGGUAAUACAGAGGGUGCAAGCGUUAAUCGGAUUUACUGGGCGUAAAGCGCGCGUAGGUGGCCAAUUAAGUCAAAUGUGAAAUCCCCGAGCUUAACUUGGGAAUUGCAUUCGAUACUGGUUGGCUAGAGUAUGGGAGAGGAUGGUAGAAUUCCAGGUGUAGCGGUGAAAUGCGUAGAGAUCUGGAGGAAUACCGAUGGCGAAGGCAGCCAUC
rnacentral:rRNA from 1 species